UUUUCCCUCCAACAAAAUUUCUCUCAAGAAAAACAAAGUUUCCCUCUCACUCUUGUCAGUUUCCCUCUCACCCUCAGUCUUUCUCAUUCCUUGUGAUAUCCAAACUUGCCUCCAAUCGUUCUUCAAAAAUCAUCAUCUACAGGUGUCUUGCUUGUGUUUCUGCAGUUUUCUCCACCAACCUUGUUCCUACUCUUGAGCUAAAGUCGUCGACAACAGUGGCAUCGUCGUCGACAUCAAAUGUUAUGGGAGUAGAGAAGCUAAUUGCCUUCAAGAUAAUGUCGCCUGGAUCUAAUUGUAAAAUCCACUUCAAACAUUGUCAUUCUGCAAUGGGCUGUUCACAAAGCUCAUGACUCGCGGCUCGGCUCGUAGCUCGCUCGAGAAAAACUAGCUAAAAAAACUCAAUUUGAGAUGACGUGAGCCAAGGUGGCUCAUUUUGUACUUGAGCUGAGCUCAAGCCAAGCUUGGCUCGGGUCAUGGCUCGGCUCGUUGGCUGGUUCUUAGGCUCGUUUAACUUAAAGCUAGAGCUUGGAUGAGACAAGUUGCCUUGGUAAAUUUCAAGCUUGAGGUCGAUCUCAACCUGGCUCGACUCGGCCCGACUCGUUUACAGCCCUAGUGUUCUAAAGGAGUGAAUGUAGGCACACUUACUUCUAGCUGUUGAAGUUAAAAAAGCCAUCGAGUGGAUAAUGUCGAAUCUUGACGGUCACUAUGCUGUUGAUUCGGUUGCUGCUGCAAUUGCUCACGGUGCUUUUGACUGCAGAAAUGGCUUCAGUGGCUGAUACCCAGUCCGGAUCAUUUCCUAUUUCAUCUCAGAAAAACGUUAUCAAGGUUUCUCCUGCCACUACUACAUCAAAUCUGUCAAAAAAAUUUCAGAGCAGAUGUAUUGACUCUGUCAAAUUAAAAAGUUUACAAUACUUGUUGUAGAUUCCAUUGAUCACGUCUUGAAUCUCUGAGACUUUGGAGCUUUACACACAUACUAAGGUCGGAGAUCAAGUUUUCCUCAAAAGUAUUUUAAACUCUACCGAGACUGUAGCAAGAGGAAGGGUCUAGAGCUUGGACCCAAAUGAUCUAGUUAGUGGUACAGAGACUGGACCAGAAUGGUGUGAGGUAAACAUUCAAGUACCAAUAAAAAAGAUGAAAACUUGGUAAGACCAUAUGGUUUAUUUUCUACAAUUCAAGAUUGUAUUAGUACAUCCAUCGCAUGGCCCUAUCCAUUCAUCUCGGUUGUCCAUGAGGAUUGAGGACGCAUGAUGACUCAAGAUUUUA